rnacentral:lncRNA from 1 species
AGACCUGGAGGGGGUCGUGGAGGCUGUGGCCUGCUUUGCCUACACGGGCCGCACAGCCCAGGAGCUGAGCUUCCGGCGGGGGGACGUACUGCGGCUGCACGAGAGGGCCUCGAGCGACUGGUGGCGGGGGGAGCACAACGGCAUGCGGGGCCUCAUCCCCCACAAGUAUAUCACGCUGCCCGCCGGGACGGAGAAGCAGGUGGUGGGCGCAGGGCUGCAGACUGCAGGGGAGUCUGGGAGCAGUCCCGAGGGCCUCCUGGCAUCAGAGCUGGUCCACCGGCCAGAGCCAUGCACCUCACCUGAGGCCAUGGGACCCUCUGGACACAGACGACGCUGCUUGGUCCCAGCC